rnacentral:rRNA from 1 species
CAGUCGAGCGGAUGAGAAGAGCUUGCUCUUCGAUUCAGCGGCGGACGGGUGAGUAAUACCUAGGAAUCUGCCUGGUAGUGGGGGACAACGUUUCGAAAGGAACGCUAAUACCGCAUACGUCCUACGGGAGAAAGCAGGGGACCUUCGGGCCUUGCGCUAUCAGAUGAGCCUAGGUCGGAUUAGCUAGUUGGUGAGGUAAUGGCUCACCAAGGCUACGAUCCGUAACUGGUCUGAGAGGAUGAUCAGUCACACUGGAACUGAGACACGGUCCAGACUCCUACGGGAGGCAGCAGUGGGGAAUAUUGGACAAUGGGCGAAAGCCUGAUCCAGCCAUGCCGCGUGUGUGAAGAAGGUCUUCGGAUUGUAAAGCACUUUAAGUUGGGAGGAAGGGCAGUAAGCGAAUACCUUGCUGUUUUGACGUUACCGACAGAAUAAGCACCGGCUAACUCUGUGCCAGCAGCCGCGGUAAUACAGAGGGUGCAAGCGUUAAUCGGAAUUACUGGGCGUAAAGCGCGCGUAGGUGGUUCGUUAAGUUGGAUGUGAAAUCCCCGGGCUCAACCUGGGAACUGCAUCCAAAACUGGCGAGCUAGAGUAGGGCAGAGGGUGGUGGAAUUUCCUGUGUAGCGGUGAAAUGCGUAG